rnacentral:rRNA from 1 species
GAUGAACGCUAGCGGCAGGCCUAACACAUGCAAGUCGAGGGGCAUCGCGGUGCAGCAAUGCACUGGCGGCGACCGGCGUACGGGUGCGUAACGCGUAUGCAACCUGCCCCGCACCGGGGGAUAGCCCGCCGAAAGGCGGAUUAAUACCCCAUGGUCCCGGGGGCCCGCAUGGGCAUCCGGGUAAAGCCUUGGCGGUGCGGGAUGGGCAUGCGUGCCAUUAGCUGGCUGGUGGGGUAACGGCCCACCAGGGCAACGAUGGCUAGGGGGUCUGAGAGGAUGGUCCCCCACACUGGUACUGAGACACGGACCAGACUCCUACGGGAGGCAGCAGUGAGGAAUAUUGGUCAAUGGGCGGAAGCCUGAACCAGCCAUGCCGCGUGCGGGAUGAAGACCCUACGGGUUGUAAACCGCUUUUCCCCGGGAAGAAUAACCCCGAUGAGUCGGGUGAUGCCGGUACCGGGGGAAUAAGGAUCGGCUAACUCCGUG